rnacentral:lncRNA from 1 species
GCCGCUUUCCAUCAAUCCACCUUCAGAAGAGUUACUGACGCAUCGACCUUGCAAGGCCUGCCGUCGAUGCCCCCACGGCGCCAGACAACGCCUCCUCCCUACGCGCGCUCAUCAUCACGCAUCCGUCGUCGAGACUUUGCUGCGCCUCGCCGCCAAGACUCCACGACGUCGAUGUGUCACAAGGAACGCCGCUCCAUCGUUGAUGCCGACCAAUGAUCCCUCGAGCCCGUGUGUACCUCCAUGAAUGACGCCCCCAAGAGGGAAACGACACCAGAGCAUCGCCGUCAUCCGAUCUACUGAUCUAGGGUUUUCCCCGGAGGUAGCAAAGAGUGGCCUUGAACUUCUCCUCGGCGAUGCCUUCAGGAAGGAAACGACGUAGACAACGCCGCCAUCGCCGGCUUUGGCAGUAGCCGAAAGCAAGCUUUUACCCAGAUCUGUUCGAAGAACCCAUCUCUCCUGCACAGGCCACCACAUCCUGCGACGUCCCCGGGAGCGGGAUCCCAAGAUCCGCCGCCACCGGCAACGCCACAAGGACCCACCACCUGACCGUCAUCCCUGACGAAGGGGAUGGCGCCACCAUGUUCAGAUCCAGCAUCAUCCGAGAAGGAGAACCGAUCUGGG